GUUCGGAUUGUAGUCUGCAACUCGACUACAUGAAGCUGGAAUCGCUAGUAAUCGCGAAUCAGAAUGUCGCGGUGAAUACGUUCCCGGGUCUUGUACACACCGCCCGUCACACCAUGGGAGUCAGUAACGCCCGAAGCCGGUGACCCAACCAAUCGGAGGGAGCCGUCGAAGGUGGGACCGAUAACUGGGGUGAAGUCGUAACAAGGUAUC
rnacentral:rRNA from 1 species